UAUGUGAUCGUCUCUCGCAUAUCAAUAAGCGGAGGAAAAGAAACUAACAAGGAUUCCCCUAGUAACGGCGAGUGAAGCGGGAAGAGCUCAAAUUUGAAAUCUUAAAGGGUUUCCCUUUACGAAUUGUAGUUUAAAGAAGUGUUUUCUGUUGAGGUUUUGGUAAAAGUUCUUUGGAAUAGGACAUCAUAGAGGGGUGAGAAUCCCGUAUUUGACCUUUACUUUCAACUUUGUGAUACACUUUCAAAGAGUCGGAUUGUUUGGGAAUGCAGUCCAAAAUGGGUGGUAAAUUUCAUCUAAAGCUAAAUAUUGGCGAGAGACCGAUAGCGAACAAGUACCGUGAGGGAAAGAUGAAAAGAACUUUGAAAAGAGAGUUAAACAGUACGUGAAAUUGUCAAAAGGGAAGCGUUUGACACCAGUGUUGUUUUUCUGAAAAUCAAUUAAAGAACUGUUUAUGCUAAGUUGUUUAGACUUUAUCAGCUAAUCUGCUUAGUUUUGAGCUUUUCUUUAAUGCACUUUUCAGUUAACAAGUCAACAUCAAUUUCUUUUGCUGUAAAAAAGCUUGAGGAAGGUGGCUUGAGAUUCGUCUUAAGUGUUUAUAGCCUCUUGCCUAUGCAGUCGGAGAGAUUGAGGUCUGCAGCGUAGAUCCUUCGGGGCUAAAUGCAUUUGUGCUAAGUUAUAGCAUUUUAUAGACAACUUGUUGACUAUGAUUUGUCUUGUAGCUUACUCGCUUAUGUUAUUUUACCUACGCUUAGGAUGUUGACACACGCGCGUGCUCG
rnacentral:rRNA from 1 species